rnacentral:rRNA from 1 species
GGGGAAUAUUGCACAAUGGGGGGAACCCUGAUGCAGCGACGCCGCGUGGAGGAAGAAGGUCUUCGGAUUGUAAACUCCUGUUGUUGAGGAAGAUAAUGACGGUACUCAACAAGGAAGUGACGGCUAACUACGUGCCAGCAGCCGCGGUAAUACGUAGGUGACAAGCGUUGUCCGGAUUUACUGGGUGUAAAGGGCGCGUAGGCGGACUGUCAAGUCAGUCGUGAAAUACCGGGGCUUAACCCCGGGGCUGCGAUUGAAACUGACAGCCUUGAGUAUCGGAGAGGAAAGCGGAAUUCCUAGUGUAGCGGUGAAAUGCGUAGAUAUUAGGAGGAACACCAGUGGCGAAGGCGGCUUUCUGGACGACAACUGACGCUGAGGCGCGAAAGUGUGGGGAGCAAACAGGAUUAGAUACCCUGGUAGUCCACACCGUAAACGAUGGAUACUAGGUGUAGGAGGUAUCGACCCCUUCUGUGCCGCAGUUAACACAAUAAGUAUCCCACCUGGGGAGUACGACCGCAAGGUUGAAACUCAAAGGAAUUGACGGGGGCCCGCACAAGCAGUGGAGUAUGUGGUUUAAUUCGAAGCAACGCGAAGAACCUUACCUGGGCUUGACAUCCCUGGAAUCGAGUAGAGAUACUUGAGUGCCUUCGGGAAUCAGGUGACAGGUGGUGCAUGGUUGUCGUCAGCUCGUGUCGUGAGAUGUUGGGUUAAGUCCCGCAACGAGCGCAACCCCUAUUGUCAGUUGCCAUCAUUAAGUUGGGCACUCUGGCGAGACUGCCGGUGACAAAUCGGAGGAAGGUGGGGACGACGUCAAAUCAUCAUGCCCCUUAUGCCCAGGGCUACACACGUACUACAAUGGCCGAUAACAAAGUGCAGCGAAACCGUGAGGUGGAGCGAAUCACAAAACUCGGUCUCAGUUCAGAUUGCAGGCUGCAACUCGCCUGCAUGAAGUUGGAAUUGCUAGUAAUCGCGGAUCAGAAUGCCGCGGUGAAUACGUUCCCG